UUUACAAGGUAUGGUAAUUUGAUGCUAUUAUCUUGUUCAAAUUGUUGGUCAUUUAUUAAACUGCAUACGGGGCAUCUAUGGGCCAUAACAGGAUAAAUGACAAUGGUAUGAGGUAACAACACUUUGCAUUGUCCAUGAUUUUUGCAAUCAAAAGAUAAAAUGAUUUUGCAGUACUGACUACUGACAUGCCUGUCUAUUGGUAUUAAAGAAAAGCUGUAUUCAUAAUGAUUGUGUGAUUAUGCCCUCUCUUUUUCCUCCCUUCUUCUAUGCCACCACCAAAAUAAUAAUAAUAAUGAUAAUGAUAAUAAUAAUAAUAGAGAUCAUCCC
rnacentral:misc_RNA from 1 species